rnacentral:rRNA from 1 species
UACGUAGGGUGCGAGCGUUAAUCGGAAUUACCGGGCGUAAAGCGUGCGCAGGCGGUUCGUUGUGUCGGCGGUGAAAGCCCCGGGCUUAACCUGGGAAUGGCCGUUGAAACUGGCGAACUGGAGUGUGGCAGAGGGGGGUGGAAUUCCGCGUGUAGCAGUGAAAUGCGUAGAGAUGCGGAAGAACACCGGUGGCGAAGGCGGCCCGCUGGGCUGUUGCUGACGCUGAGGCGCGACAGCGUGGGGAGCAAACAGG